GACGAACGCUGGCGGCGUGCCUAAUACAUGCAAGUCGAGCGAGUCUGCCUUGAAGAUCGGAGUGCUUGCACUCUGUGAAACAAGAUACAGGCUAGCGGCGGACGGGUGAGUAACACGUGGGUAACCUGCCCAAGAGAUCGGGAUAACACCUGGAAACAGAUGCUAAUACCGGAUAACAACAGAUGAUGCCUAUCAACUGUUUAAAAGAUGGUUCUGCUAUCACUCUUGGAUGGACCUGCGGUGCAUUAGCUAGUUGGUAGGGUAACGGCCUACCAAGGCGAUGAUGCAUAGCCGAGUUGAGAGACUGAUCGGCCACAUUGGGACUGAGACACGGCCCAAACUCCUACGGGAGGCAGCAGUAGGGAAUCUUCCACAAUGGACGCAAGUCUGAUGGAGCAACGCCGCGUGAGUGAAGAAGGGUUUCGGCUCGUAAAGCUCUGUUGUUGGUGAAGAAGGACAGGGGUAGUAACUGACCUUUGUUUGACGGUAAUCAAUGAGAAAGUCACGGCUAACUAAGUG
rnacentral:rRNA from 1 species